CGGACGAGCCAUUCUCGCGCGACUUGUACCAAAUUCUCAGGAAAGGAAAACUUUCGCGAGACUUGGAACUUGCGGCUCUUUUUGCAAUAGAGAGCCGCGUGGUGGCAAGCGCAGCCCUUUGGGUAAGCGGUGCUCAGCCGCUAAGUCAUGUCCCACUCUUUACGACUCCCAUGGACUGUAACCCACCAGGCUCCUCUGUCCAUGGGACUCCCCAGGCAAAACUACUGGAAUGGGUUGCCAUUUCCUCCUCCAGGGGAUCUUCCAGACCCAGGGAUUGAACCCUCGUCUCUUAUGUCUCCUGCAUUGGCAGACAGGUUCUUUACCACUAACGCCACCUGGGAAGCCCUUGGGAGCACUUCUUCAAUAAACCAUGUACACAAGAAUCCUGUCUCGGCCUCCGUUUCUGAGGAGCUCAGAGGAAAACAUACAUACGCAGAAAUGCACUGUGGAAAUACAGGAAGUGCCUUUUCUUUUCAGAAAUGGCUCUUUGUCCAAGGAGAAACACUUUCCUUCCCAUGUCUGUUAAUGGAAGAUCUUGCCGUCAGCUUGGAAACCGCCAAGCAGGUGGUGAUUUGUGGAGGGCAAGAGUUGGACUGUGAAGAAAGCUGAUCGCCGAAGAAUUGAUGCUUUUGAACUGUGGUGUUGGAGCAGACUCUUGAGAGUCCCUUGGACUGCAAGGAGAUCCAGCCAGUCCAUUCUGAAGGAGAUCAGCCCUGGGAUUUCUUUGGAGGAAAUGAUGCUGAAGCUGAAACUCCAGUACUUUGGCCACCUCAUGCGAAGAGUUGACUCAUUGGAAAAGACUCUGAUCCUGGGAGGGAUAGGGGGCAGGAGGAGAAGGGGAUGACAGAGGAUGAGAUGGCUGGAUGGCAUCACUGACUCUAUGGACGUGAGUCUGGGUGAACUCCGGGAGUUGGUGAUGGACGGGAAGGCCUGGCGUGCUGUGAUUCAUGGGGUCACAAAGAGUCGGACACGACUGAGCGACUGAACUGAACUGAACUGAGUGUCUGAAUAAUAUUCCACGUUUUCUUUAUUCAUUCAUUUCUUGCGUACUUUAGGUUUUAUC
ensembl:lncRNA